rnacentral:rRNA from 1 species
AGGGAAUUUUCGGCAAUGGAGGAAACUCUGACCGAGCAACGCCGCGUGAAUGACGAAGUACUUCGGUAUGUAAAGUUCUUUUAUCAGGGAAGAAUGGGCAGUGGAAAGACUGUUUUGACGGUACCUGAUGAAUAAGCCCCGGCUAACUAUGUGCCAGCAGCCGCGGUAAUACAUAGGGGGCAAGCGUUAUCCGGAAUUAUUGGGCGUAAAGGGUGCGUAGGCGGUCAUUUAAGUCUUGGGUGGAAGUGCAAGGCUAAACCUUGUGAUGCUAAGGAAACUGGAUGACUUGAGUGUGAUAGAGGUAAGUGGAAUUCCAUGUGUAGCGGUAAAAUGCGUAAAUAUAUGGAGGAACACCAGUGGCGAAGGCGGCUUACUGGGUCACAACUGACGCUGAGGCACGAAAGCGUGGGGAGCAAAC